rnacentral:rRNA from 1 species
UACGUAGGUGGCAAGCGUUUGUCCGGAAUCAUUGGGCGUAAAGCGCGCGUAGGCGGCCCGGGUAAGUCCGUCGUGAAAGUCAAAGGCUCAAACCUUUGAAUGUCGAUGGAUACUGGCCGGGCUAGAGUCCGGAAGAGGCGAGUGGAAUUCCCGGUGUAGCGGUGAAAUGCGCAGAUAUCGGGGAGGAACAACCUAUGGCGAAGGCAGCUCGCUGGGGA